UACGGGGGAUGCAAGCGUUAUCCGGAUUUACUGGGUGUAAAGGGCGUGCAGCCGGAGAGACAAGUCAGAUGUGAAAUCCACAGGCUCAACCUGUGAACUGCAUUUGAAACUGUUUCCCUUGAGUAUCGGAGAGGUCAUCGGAAUUCCUAGUGUAGCGGUGAAAUGCGUAGAUAUUAGGAAGAACACCAGUGGCGAAGGCGGAUGACUGGACGGUAACUGACGCUGAGGCUCGAAAGCGUGGGGAGCAAACAGG
rnacentral:rRNA from 1 species